rnacentral:ncRNA from 1 species
AGGAUAGAGGUGCGGUUAUCAGGAGUAGCGCGGAUGCAAGGCGUCGCAAAGCCGUUGUCUGCGCGAAAGGGGUCGCCGCCGAAGGGGAAGGGUUGCGCCCGUCUCCUGGUCACGCGGACAACAUCCGUUUGACUGUCGCGUUUGCGGAGAGCUAUGUA